GAUGAACGCUAGCGGCAGGCCUAAUACAUGCAAGUCGAACGGUGUCUUCGGACAUAGUGGCGCACGGGUGCGUAACACGUAUGCAACCUACCUUACAUUGGGGGAUAGCCUUUCGAAAGGGAGAUUAAUACCGCAUAAGUCAGUAACUAGGCAUCUAGUAGCUGUUAAAGAUUUAUCGAUGUAAGCUGGGCAUGCGUCCAAUUAGCUAGUUGGUGAGGUAACGGCUCACCAAGGCAAUGAUUGGUAGGGGAACUGAGAGGUCAAUCCCCCACACAGGCACUUGGAUACUGGCCAGACUCCUACGGGAGGCAGCAGUAGUGAAGAUUGGGCAAUGGACGAAAGUCUGACCCAGCCAUGCCGCGUGCAGGAUGAAGGCGUUAUGCGUUGUAAACUGCUUUUAUACAGGAAGAAACGACUCUUGCGAGAGGCAUUGACGGUACUGUAUGAAUAAGCACCGGCUAACUCCGUGCCAGCCGCCGCGGUAACAC
rnacentral:rRNA from 1 species